AACGAACGCUGGCGGCAUGCCUAACACAUGCAAGUCGAACGAGACCUCCGGGCCUAGUUGCGCACGUGUGCGUAACGCGUGGGAACUUGCCCUUAGGUUCGGAAUAACUCCCCGAAAGGGGUGCUAAUACCGGAUAAUCUCUUCGGACCAAAGAUUUAUCGCCUUUGGGUGGGCCCGCGUUGGUUUAGCUAGUUGGUAGUGUAAAAGCAUAUCAAGGAGACGAUGCAUAGCUGGUGUGAGAGGAUGCUCAGCCACACUGGGACUGCGACACGGACCAGACUGCUACGGGAGGCAGGAGUGGGGAAUAUUGGACGAGGGGCGAAAGCCUGAUACAGCAAUGCCGGGUGAGUGAUGCAGGGGUUAGGGUUGUAAAGCUGUCUUACACGAGACGAUAAUGACAGUACCGGGAGAAUAAGCACCGGCUAACUACGUG
rnacentral:rRNA from 1 species